AAUAAAAUAUAUUAGCUGACAAAAAAAUAAAAAUAAAAUACAUUAAAUAGUGAAUGUAAAAAAAAAAUUAAAUAGUUUUAAAAAAUUAAAAUUAUUGACUUCUUGUUGAGUCAAUCAAGUUUUGCAACAAAAUUGUUGACUGUAAAGUUCUUUAAAAAUGAGACAAGCACACGUGUGAGGUUACUUGUUACACACGUGUGUAAUCUCUUUUAAAAGGAUAAGUUUUUUUCUCUCCACAAAGUUCCCACCUUUAAAAUGAUUCCAACCAUCUUACGCUACUCCGGCGCGACAGCGCCGGCGAUUCCGUCAACACCUUCCAUCUCCGGCUCCUCCUCUUACCUCCGAUUGAUAGACACACAAUGCACCACGAUGAGAGAACUCAAGCAAAUCCACGCCAACCUCAUCAAAACCGGAUUAAUCUCCGACACCCUCGCCGCGAGCCGCGUCCUCGCCUUCUCCUGCGCCGCCACGUCACCAGACAUCAGCCACGCUUACCUUCUCUUCACAAGGAUCAACCCCAAGAACCAAUUCGUGUGGAACACUAUGAUCCGCGCCUUCUCCAAGAGCUCUUUUCCCGAGAAGGCGAUUUCGCUUCUCGUCGAAAUGUUGUCGUCUUCUGAUUCCGUGAAGCCGGAGAGGUUGACUUACCCUUCGGUGUUCAAGGCCUACGCGAAUCUCGGGAAGGCACGUGACGGGAGGGGAUUGCACGGGAGGGUUAUUAAAGAAGGGCUUAAAGACGACGCCUUUAUACGGAACACGGUGUUGAAUAUGUACGCGACGUGUGGGUGUUUUGAAGAAGCUUGGAGGGUUUUCGAGGGGAUGGUGGAGUUCGAUGUCGUCGCUUGGAACUCGAUGAUCAUGGGUUUAGCUAGAUUCGGGUUGGUUGAUGACGCGCGGAAGCUGUUCGAUGAAAUGCCGCAGAGGAGUGAGGUUUCUUGGAAUUCGAUGAUUAGUGGGUUUGUGAGGAACGGUAGGUUUAAGGAUGCGUUGGAGGUGUUUGGAGUGAUGCAGGAGAGAGGUGUGAGGCCUGAUGGGUUUACGAUGGUGAGUCUGUUGAAUGCUUGUGGUUGCCUUGGGGGAAGUGAGCAAGGGAGAUGGGUACAUGAGUAUAUAGUGAAGAAUGGGUUUGGAAUGAAUGGUGUAGUUGUGACUGCGCUUAUAGAUAUGUACUGUAAGUCCGGGUGUGUUGAGGAAGGUUUGAAGGUGUUUGAGGAGGCUCAUGAGAAGCAGUUAUCGUGUUGGAACUCGAUGAUUCUUGGUUUAGCUAAUAAUGGGUACGUGGAAAGAGCUAUUGAUUUGUUCUUGGAGUUAGAGCGUUCUGGUUUGGAGCCAGAUUCUGUUAGUUUCAUUGGUGUUUUAACAGCUUGUGCUCAUUCCGGGAAAGUACAUAAAGCUAUCGAGUUUUUCAGAUUGAUGAGAGAGAAGUACUUUAUUGAGCCGUCGGUUAAACACUACACUUGCAUGGUUAACGUGCUGGGUGGAGCGGGGCUGCUAGAGGAAGCAGAGGCAAUGAUAAAGAGCAUGCCGGUGGAAGAAGACGCUAUUAUAUGGACUUCUUUGCUUUCUGCUUGCAGGAAAAACGGCAACGUUGAGAUGGCUGAGCGAGCAGCGAAACGUUUGAAGAUGCUAGAUCCAGAUGAAACUUGUGGUUAUGUCCUCAUGUCUAAUGCUUAUGCUUCUUAUGGGCUGUUCGAAGAGGCGGUUGAGCAGAGGGUUCUGAUGAAGGAAAGACAAAUGGAGAAGGAAAUAGGGUGCAGUUCGAUUGAAGUAGAUUUCGAAGUUCAUGAGUUUGUUUCUUGCGGGAAAAGACACCCUAAAUCCUCAGAGAUUUACAGCUUACUAGGUGUUUUGAACUGGGAUGCCUCUGCAUUAAGCUCAGAGGUUGGCUACUACUCAAUUUGCUGAAACAACUUUGUCAUUUAAAGACACUUAGGUAUAAACUACAGAGGAAGAUUACUCUCUGUUCUUUCACCAAACUCAUGGUUUGAUCUUUGAUUCCAAGCCCCCCAGGAGUAGAUAUCAGAACCCGAGUUUCCAUUAGUGAGCAGGUUCUGAGGCAGUCCAUGAAUGUCAUCUAAGGGACGGGAUCUUCCGUUCUGGUAGUAUUGCUGGUUGUGCAUAGAAGCAGCUUCAUCAUCAUCCAGAGGAAGACGAUCAAACACAGCGUUCAUGAAAGAUGC